rnacentral:rRNA from 1 species
UACGUAGGUGGCAAGCGUUGUCCGGAAUUAUUGGGUGUAAAGCGCGCGCAGGUGGUUUCUUAAGUCUGAUGUGAAAGCCCACGGCUCAACCGUGGAGGGUCAUUGGAAACUGGGGAACUUGAGUGCAGAAGAGGAAAGUGGAAUUCCAAGUGUAGCGGUGAAAUGCGUAGAGAUUUGGAGGAACACCAGUGGCGAAGGCGACUUUCUGGUCUGUAACUGACACUGAGGCGCGAAAGCGUGGGGAGCAAACAGG